rnacentral:rRNA from 1 species
ACGUCUAUUGGACCCGAAACCGAUCGAUCUAGCGACGUGCAGGUCUGACAUUAAUCAGGACCGAACCCGUGUCUGUUGCAAGAGACUGGGAUGACACGUGGCUAGGGGUGAAAGGCCAAUCAAGUUCGGAUAAUAGCUGGUUUUCUGCGAAAUCUAUUCAGGUAAAGAGUGUGUACUAAGACCAUUAAUUAUA